UGGCUAGUGGCUGAAAAGGGGGUUGGACACCUGUGUUCCCCAGACCACCCUGCUCAGUACAAAUCCUGCAGUUACUGGAAUGAUGGGACUGACUGGGAUUUUCCCAAAGAAAGCUUUGCAAGGAAGUUUUGAAGGAGAAAAGACAUGAUCAGCAGGAAGAAAGAACAGGCAAUGGCUUGGCCAUAAGUCUUCAAGUCACAUGUGGGAUGCUGUCAGUUGGCCGGCUGGAUACAAAGUGGGAGAUGAGGACAGAAGGAUCAGUGGGAACGCCUUCUGGUGCAGGACCCUGAUGUUACUGAGACCUUGGAUUUAACCUGAGAUUCCAAAGCUGCAGAGAAGAGCUCAGUUCAGGAGGGGACACAGAACCGAGGAUGGGGGUCAGGGAGGUAGGGGGAGGACCUGGCUUCAGGGAACGCACCUCCCUGCCAUCCAUGUUCAGCAGGAUCACAUGCCCCACAUUGUCUCCUGUGACCACCACUCGGCUUUUGACAGACACAUCCAGGCUGCAAAACCAGAUGCUGGAGGGAGAGACCGUGCUGUAAGAUUCUUGAGUACAGAGUCAAAUUCCAUUUAUUCACUGUUGAAGCUCAUGUCAGACAUAUAGUAGACUGUCAAUAAAUAUUUGUUGAAUCAAUGAA